UGCAAAUUCAUCUCUUUACCAAAUGUGUUUGCUCUUUUUGGAUGUCUGGUUGCUGUUGGCUGUUAUUCUUUUUUCCUUAACUCCAUUUCCCUGCCCCCUCUUAAGGUUUGACGAAGAAAAAAAUAGGAAAAGCCGUAAAAGAAUCGACCAGGAUGCGCACGGCAAAGUGGAGAUCGCAGCGGCUGCUGUUCCAGAGUGACCCUGCUAGCCCGCACGAUGUGGAGGAGGAAAACGACGGAGAAUGUUUCAAACAGCACUCGUAUGUUUAUGUUCUGGGCAACGUGACUGAAGACUUGUUUGCAUCAUGAAGUGCCUUUUUGAAACUGUGCUGCCUGUUACAUCGUGGGACUUUUCACAGCUUUAUCUUCAGCGUUCUUCCACUUGCUGUCUGAAAUGUUUUUAAUCUUAUUUUUAUUUACUGCCAAUAUAUCAUGUCCAACUUAGCUUAUUGGUGUCCCCUAGUUACUGGUGUAUCUACACGUUAUGUAAGGCACUCUGUUACAAAUGAUUGAUGCAUGUUCUGCUUUAUUACAUUUAAAUAUAUAUUUAUAUUCAAAAGGUGACAAAGGAGAGAAAUUAAUAUAUUUUUAUGGUUGCUCUGAUUUUAAACUGCAUUUUAGGUCUCUGACCCGUUGAGUGGCAUUUCAUUGAACACGUGUUGACAGCACCUUUUUCACUUUUCACUGCUGACGUUCUCUAUCAAAAUCCUGCCUGGGGGAAAAUAAAGUUUUAUUUUUUUCCCUUCACUCAGAAUGUGCCCUUUGAGUUGUGUAGGGAGAACAUUUGUGAGAGCAAUGAUCUGAAGCAAAGAUGUAGGUCUUAAUGUAACAUUUCCUCCAAGUAAAGUCAUGGAUUUCA